rfam:Echinops telfairi cont1.381729, whole genome shotgun sequence.
CUGUGCCACCUGUGAUUGCUGUGCUCACCUGAACCUUCUGACCACCUUCUUGGUACUGGUCCAUCAGUCUCCAGAACUGGUACCUGGGUUUUUGCCCAUGGUGAUUCUCCUACCACCUUACUACUGAAGAAGGCAUGAUUCGAAUGGGACCAUUGUGACCCAAGACGCAUUCAGCUAUCACGUGGCCUUUACUUCCACUCCUGUCCAGCUCUGCCCAGAUUCAACACAACUCUUUA